rnacentral:rRNA from 1 species
AACGAACGCUGGCGGCAUGCCUAACACAUGCAAGUCGAACGAGACCUUCGGGUCUAGUGGCGCACGGGUGCGUAACGCGUGGGAAUCUGCCCUUGGGUUCGGGAUAACAGUUGGAAACGACUGCUAAUACCGGAUGAUGACUUCGGUCCAAAGAUUUAUCGCCCAGGGAUGAGCCCGCGUCGGAUUAGCUAGUUGGUGGGGUAAAGGCCUACCAAGGCGACGAUCCGUAGCUGGUCUGAGAGGAUGAUCAGCCACACUGGGACUGAGACACGGCCCAGACUCCUACGGGAGGCAGCAGUGGGGAAUAUUGGACAACGGGCGAAAGCCUGAUCCAGCAAUGCCGCGUGAGUGAUGAAGGCCUUAGGGUUGUAAAGCUCUUUUACCCGGGAUGAUAAUGACAGUACCGGGAGAAUAAGCCCCGGCUAACUUCGUGCCAGCCGCCGCGGUAAAAC